rnacentral:lncRNA from 1 species
UAUGUAGUGCUAUUGAAUCAAAACUCAUCCCUGAAUCGUAGUCUUCAUAUGGAUCUUGAGCAUCCUGAUAAUUCAGGUGGUCUCCAUUAUCGUCUCCUCCUGAGCUUUGAGAUCUUUCUGGACUGGACCUUGACCUUUCUGGACUGGGACUAGGAUUUUUUAUCAUAUGUUUGUCUUGUUUUUCCUUUUCUUGAAAAAAAUUCUCUAGUGUCUGUUUAAUUACAUCUUCUAUUUUCUC